rnacentral:rRNA from 1 species
AACGAACGCUGGCGGCAGGCCUAACACAUGCAAGUCGAACGCUCCGCAAGGGGAGUGGCGCACGGGUGAGUAACACGUGGGAACCUACCUUCUGGUACGGAACAACCAAGGGAAACUUUGGCUAAGACCGUAUACGACCUCCGGGUGAAAGAUUGAUCGCCGGAAGAGGGGCCCGCGUCCGAUUAGGUAGUUGGUGAGGUAACGGCUCACCAAGCCUUCGAUCGGUAGCUGGUCUGAGAGGAUGACCAGCCACACUGGGACUGAGACACGGCCCAGACUCCUACGGGAGGCAGCAGUGGGGAAUAUUGGACAAUGGGCGCAAGCCUGAUCCAGCCAUGCCGCGUGAGUGAUGAAGGCCUUCGG